UUUUUCUUUUUACUUGCCGUUUGUUUUUGAUAACAUGAUUAUUACCUAUGUAAUGAGUGUGUUCUUAUGUUUUAAUUAGUGUUUGUGCCAAGUAAAACAUUUGGGAUGAUUUGCUUGAUGAGUAUAAUUGAUACGAUGCAAAAACAGAAACUUUGACGUCGAGUGCAGAAUUUCACUGAUUCUACUCGAUGUAUUUUCAAGACGAAUAUUUUACACAGUAUUUCUAUGCAAAUUCCUCAGGUCUUCCUAUU
rnacentral:lncRNA from 1 species